CAGCCCGCGGGAAAACGUAGGGUGCGAGCGUUAAUCGGAAUUACUGGGCGUAAAGCGUGCGCAGGCGGUUGUGUAAGACAGGUGUGAAAUCCCCGGGCUUAACCUGGGAACUGCGCUUGUGACUGCACAGCUAGAGUAUGGCAGAGGGGGGUGGAAUUCCACGUGUAGCAGUGAAAUGCGUAGAGAUGUGGAGGAACACCGAUGGCGAAGGCAGCCCCCUGGGCCAAUACUGACGCUCAUGCACGAAAGCGUGGGGAGCAACCAGGAUUAGAUACCCCCAGUAGUCCCUGUCUCUUAUACA
rnacentral:rRNA from 1 species